AUGGUGGUUUUCAAUUCACCUUUGUUGCAUAUUCAAGGAGGGCGUACCCAUACAUGCGUUGUGAACCCGCUUAUAUAAGGCACUUACCAUGCAUCCGGAAAGUAUUCACAGUGCUUCA